AUAAGGAAGGGCAUACUAAAAGUCAGGCAUAUGGUAGCCAUUGAUCAGAAGACACAGCACAACAAAAAUAUCUCCCCUAUGUUUAUUUCAGUUUUUAUCAGAAAUCUCCCUGACCCUUUAAAUUCAUAAUUUGGAUAGAAAAGCAAAGGUUCAAGAACCAACCAAAUAAUUCAACCAAUAAUUACAAAAAAAUAAAAGUAGAAUUAUCCACAUGAUGUUACUCAUCAAGAGGGAAUGGUCCCCCGAAGAGGGAAAAACACAGCGAUAACUGAAUAAAACAGAUGAGAAAAUGUCUCCCACAGGAGUAAUAGGUCUAAUAAGUUUUGGAGGGAACAGCUUUCCCCAAAAUAGUAUUGGAAAAAUUGAACAUGCUUGUUACUACAGGAAUCUUUAACUGACCGGUAUACCAAAACCAAAACAAAACCUUACAGACGGGUCAUAGAUGUGAAUCUAAAAUAUGGAACUACAUGUUAUCAGUUUAAAAAGAAGAAAAACAACAACAUAAACUAAGCAAAAGUGAACUCAUGUGUGGGGGAUCUCCCCUAGCUAUUUGAUUGACUGAUAAAGACGUCAGGAAGCCAAUCACUGGGCGAAGCUAUGGAGGUGGUAUUUUCCGGGCUGAACAGGAAGAAGGGGAGAAGCACAGAGAGAGAGACAGAGAUGGGAGAAAAAAGGUGGAACAUGUAGGAGAGGAUGAUGAGCCAGAACCAUGUGGUCUUAGGAUCCAUAAGUAACUGGGGAUUUCUUAGACGAUUAAAUAACAUAGGACACAGUUGUCCAAUCUAGGUAUACAGCUUAUAUCAAUUGAGUUCUUUGUGUGGGCAUUUUGGGGGUUAGGGGGUUGAGGAUUUACUAAUAUAAAUCUGGCUGGUAAAUUACAUGCCUCUGGAGUUUUCAUUUUUACAGGGCCAGGGGAUUAGAGCUAGCAACAGCCAGUUUUGAUAGGCUAGCCACAGGGGGCAGAUGACUUGGAAAGUGUGGAACGGUUCUGCAACAGCUGACUGCAGAAACCUAGACAGACCGCCGCUUGGGGAUCCCCAUGAGGUGGGGAGACGAUCGUUUUUUAUAACUACACGCUACACUCACUUUACCCACUGUUCUUAGCUAUAGUUUUGCAGAGUGGUGGGUACAAUACAUACCUUGGCCAACGAUCUGCCGAGUCUUCAGCCUAUGACAAGGCCUUUCGAGAGACUGCCAGGUGCGGCUUAGUGAAUCCCUCAGUUUCCAUACCCAUCUGUCCAUCCGUGUUCUUUCCUGUCAAGAGGAUCCUGUACGAUCAUGCUGAGCUUGCAGUGAGGGUGGCCAUGACAGAGCUGACUUCUCUUGCAAUUAGCAAUUUAGGAAGUUUAUAAUGGUCAGGCAAUGCACAGGUCCAGUUCAACUAACCUUAUCAGGAUGUCUGCUAGAUACAAAAUAUUCAACAUGGGCCUAGCGAUAUAAUGGUGGAUAACACCUAAACAGUCUCACAACUUGGUAAGGAAAAUGUGCAUGGAAACCCCAGUAGUAAAUGCAUGAAGACAGUGGAGCAUGAAGGAGAAGAGUCCAAACUCGCCAUUUCCACACGACUCCACCCGGUAGCAACUGGCCCACGACGGCAGACAUAUCCUUAAUCUACUCAUGAAAAUAGACCCACCACAGCUUCAUCCUUCCCGAAGUUUCUGUCUGUUCAUUGCGUUGCAUUUAGACCGAAGUUUCUAACCUAACACAUAAAAUUGAGGCCAUGCCUUUAAAUUAGAGUGACUGGACUUAUGGCUUUGCAAAUAAUGGUGUCUGGAUUUUAAUCCCCUGCAUAUAAGAAAACUGUCAGGUUUUAUAAUGGGCUAUGAGUCACGUGGCUCUGGCAUUGAGGCUCUAUCCUGGACUGGUUAGCAAGAGAUGUCAGGCUGGCACAGCCCCUGGAAGCAUCUCUGUCCUUGCUAGGCAACAGUGAUGAUGCUAUGUGGCCUGCUUCUUAGCAGAUGCUUCAUAAGCUCUUACCCAGUUUCCUAGGAGGGAGCCUAGUGAAACUCAGUGGGUCAUAAAAGAAAAACUUGAGAGUGGGAGGGAAACCAGCUGGGAAGCACGUGAACUCUGUGGAGGGGAAGAGAGAGAAGAGAGAAUCAUGGGUGACCAGUGUGGACAGACUGCCAUAUACACAGGUAUGAACAUCUAUUAUGCAUAGCAUGCUAUUAUUACUAAAAGUAUCAUAUAGUAAAAAGAGUUGGAACAAAAAAAAUUAACUUUUUUUUUUUGAGCCAGGAUCUCACUGCAUAGCCAUUGUCCCGGAACUCACUAUGAAGACCAGACUGACAUUGAACUCACAGACUUCUGCCUCCUGAGUGCUGGGAGUAAAGGUAUUUGCUACCACAUCCUGUAUAAAAAUGACCAUUUUUAAGUGAGUGAUUUAUUUAGCAUGUUAGAUGUGUACACCACUGCUAAUCUAUUUCAAAAAACACGUGUGACUGCACCACAAAAUGUAGAGGAGUGAGUGGAUCUGACGCUUUGAUUUAAUCAGGUAUCUGUGUUUACUGACGCUGAAGGUCCUUGCCCCCAGUUGGUUUUUGAUCUAUCAAUAAAGAUGCCAGAGGCCAGUGAUUGAGUGGAAAGAAAGAGGCAGGACUAACAGGUUCCCACAGGUGAGGAGAGAGGAGAGGGAGGAAGAGAGAAUCAAGAUACUUGGGGGAGAGAGCUGGAGGGGAGAUCUUCCAAAAUGUAGGCGGGAAAGGAAAGCAGCCCACGGAAGGGCAGCCCAAAGGUGUCUUGGGCAGCAAGACCAAUGGGCUUCAUAGAAGGUAGCCAGGCAACUAAGCUGAAGCUGCCUGGCUAAGGGCAUGUGAUAUUUUACUAGAACACGUGAUGUUUGGAAUGGUAUAAAUGGCCCCCAACAGACAGUAGAGGGCGCUGUGGCUUUGGUUCACCAUGCCUUCUUCCCUGAUCAUUUUUUGUCAUGACUUCAUAGAGAGAAAUACACCAAAGAACUUCUCCUGAUAUUCCAGAGGCUUCUUGCCACUUCCAAGAACUCAGGAAGACUGGCUGAUCGAUGCAGAAGAAACACUGAGGCCCUGCCACAAAGUACCACUGCUGAGUCUUGGGAGCUCAACUGUUGAUAUCCAAACAUGGAAGAUAGGAAUCGCCCCCCCCCAAAAAAAAAAAAAAAAACUUUACUAAAAAG
rnacentral:lncRNA from 1 species